CAGGGGCGUAGCUACCCGGAGGCACGACUGCACGUGCAUCCACGUCGUUUUCACAAAAAAAAAAAAAAAAAAAAAAAAAAAGCAGAAGAGAGAGAGAGAUGAGUUGGUCAAUCGGAAUCGGAGACUUUUGGUGUCUUUUCCGUCUAUCCCGGAUAUUAGUUUGACAACCUAGUUACAAGUGUUGAUGAAGCUGUUCAUUCAGAAAAAGAUCUUAGCUCCGAAGUUGCGUGCACAUUGAUUCGGCAUGCAAAAAAAGAAAUGGCAAAAUAAAAAUUUAUAAAUUGAAUGUUAAAGGAAACAACUAUGUUGUCACUUUUUUUAAUUGAUGAAAUAUCAUUAAAUAACGACAUUUGGUUUCAAA
rnacentral:lncRNA from 1 species